AUGACCCCACCGGCCUUGGCCCUGCCAGAUCCCACUAAGCCAUUCCAUUUGUUUGUAGCUGAGAAAGGGGGAGUAGCUAAGGGAGUUCUGACUCAGCUCCUGGGAACUUGAGGCCGACCAGUGGCCUAUUUAUCCAAAAGGCUAGACCCAGUUGCUUCCAGAUGGCCCACAUGCAUUCGACAGAUAGCUGCCACCACACUACUAGUCAAAGAUGCAGAUAAACUAACCCUGGGACAGACGUUGUCUGUUACAGGGCCCCAUGAAGUGGAGGCCUUACUGCGGGCUCCCCCAGAACGGUGGCUGUCAAAUGCUUGGAUUACCCAGUAUCGAGCAUUGCUGCUCGACCAGCCCCGGAUACGUUUUUGUGCCCCCGCAGCCUUAAACCCAGCUACUCUGCUGCCCGAAGGACUAGGUCCCCCUCUACAUUCUUGCCCAGGGACCUUAGCUACAGUUUUGUUCCUCCGCUCCGAUCUCACGGACAUUCCCCUACAGGAUCCUGAUAUCAACAUGUUUUCAGAUGGCAGUAGUUUUGUGUUUCAAGGGCAAAGGUAUGAUGGUGCUGCGGUUAGGACAGAGGGCAAGGUUCUAUGGCAACAGAGCCUUCCCCUGGGAACCUCAGCCCAGCGCGCAGAGCUCAUCGCGCUAACUAAAGCUCUGAAAUUCUGUAAAAACAAAUCAGUUAAUGUUUAUACGGACAGCUGCUAUGCCUUUGCAACUGCGCAUGUUCACGGGUCCAUCUAUUAAGUGCGGCCUCCUCAUGGCGAGGGCAAGGACAUCAAAAAUAAAGCGGAAAUUCUAGACCUUGUAACAGCCAUCUGGGAACCUGUGAGACUCGCGAUCAUUCACAGUCCAGGACAUCAAAAAGGCAACACCCUAGAGGCAGUCGGAAACUGCCUGGCUGAUGCGGCAGCCUGGGAAGCUGCCCUAACUGAAAGUAAAAGUGCUUUGGCACUACGGAUCUUGAUAGACCCCCUGCUUCCGCCGGAGCCCAAUUAUACUCUUAAAGAUUUGGAGUGGAUUUCAAGAAAAGGAAGAAGUAUGAUACCGGGACAAAAAUGGUUUCAGGAUCCUGAAGGAGACUUAGUUUGGGUCAAGAGGCACAAGCCUGAAACCCUGGAGCCGCUCUGGAAAGGACCACAUACCGUGAUCCUGACUACACCAAUGGCUGUGAAGACAGACGGUGUCCAAACCUGGAUUCAUCAUUCUCAGGUUAAGAAAAACUGUGCGGAGGCAGAAACACCCAGGACUGAUACGGGACCAGAGAACAAACAGCGAUGGAAGGUCAAAAGGCACCCAGAGGAUCCUUUAAAGAUAAGACUGAUGCGGGAAUAAUAAUUGUCUGGGUUUGUAUAAGCUUGGGAGACUGUGGAACUGCACCCCUUGUCUUUUUGGCCAUACCAAUGGGAACUCAGACACUGUCACACGGAAGGUGACUUUCUUACUUCUGUCUUGGACUUACUGUGUGUCAAGUACAGUUACCAUCACUUAAGAUACGGAGGUGAAGGUAACCUGGAGGAAAGACGAACAAGGAAUGACAAAACCCCAAGGCUGUCAUAUGUCAUGGAAACAAGAAGUGGGGACAUCAAAAAUACAUGAAAUAUUCAACACCCUCUUCGGUCCCUAUUAACAAGCUGCUGGAACCAUGACCCUAGAGUGCACAAAUAUCUGUGCAACUUUAAAUGAAUUAUCAACAAUCAACAUUUUGCCAAGGAAAACCAAUAGUUUAUAGAUCAAAUGAGGAAGCAAAGACACAUGAUGGAGGAAAAUGGCAAAACAUUUAGCUAUGACUUUGGCUGAAAGCAGAGUGGCCUGGAGACAGAUUCCUUUCUUUUUCUUCACCCCUAGAUCCAAGCUCCAAAAGAUAUAAGUAGGCCAAAAUCAUCAUUACUGAUAAUGUUCCAAGGCAGGGGUCAUUCAUUAUAAACAAAUAAGCACAUGAUCCAGUCUGCCUCAUGCCCAGGAACUACACCUAGGAGUCGUUUCUGGCAGGAGCCCAUCCCUUCUUGAACUUUCUGGGUAUGUCUCCAAUCCACCUUUGCUGCAUUAUAACAAGAAUACCUGUGACCAUUUUUAGGGUAUGGGGCAUAGGCUUUCAGGAGGUUGCUUUGCAAUAAAUAAUUAUUGAUCCACUGCUUA